rnacentral:rRNA from 1 species
UGGGGAAUAUUGCACAAUGGGCGCAAGCCUGAUGCAGCCAUGCCGCGUGUAUGAAGAAGGCCUUCGGGUUGUAAAGUACUUUCAGUCGGGAGGAAGGUGGUAAGGUUAAUAACCUUAUCAAUUGACGUUACCGACAGAAGAAGCACCGGCUAACUCCGUGCCAGCAGCCGCGGUAAUACGGAGGGUGCAAGCGUUAAUCGGAAUUACUGGGCGUAAAGCGCACGCAGGCGGUCUGACAAGUCGGAUGUGAAAUCCCCGGGCUCAACCUGGGAACUGCAUUCGAAACUGGCAGGCUAGAGUCUUGUAGAGGGGGGUAGAAUUCCAGGUGUAGCGGUGAAAUGCGUAGAGAUCUGGAGGAAUACCGGUGGCGAAGGCGGCCCCCUGGACAAAGACUGACGCUCAGGUGCGAAAGCGUGGGGAGCAAACAGG